GUGGUUGCGUGUGGAAGCGCCAUCGCUCAACGGAUAAAAGGUACUCCGGGGAUAACAGGCUUAUCGGGCCCAAGAGUUCACAUCGACGGCUCGGUUUGGCACCUCGAUGUCGGCUCAUCGCAUCCUGGGGCUGGAGAAGGCCCCAAGGGUUGGGCUGUUCGCCCAUUAAAGCGGUACGUGAGCUGGGUUUAGAACGUCGUGAGACAGUUCGGUCCCUAUCUGUCGCGGGCGUAGGAAAUUUGAGGGGAGCUGCUUCUAGUACGAGAGGACCGAAGUGGACGGACCCCUGGUGUACCAGUUGUCUCUCCAGAGGCACUGCUGGGUAGCUAUGUCCGGAAGGGAUAAGCGCUGAAAGCAUCUAAGUGCGAAGCCCACCCCAAGAUUAGAUUUCCCUUCAGGUUUCGACCUGACUAAAGGCUCCUUGAAGAUGACAAGGUUGAUAGGCCACAGGUGUAAGUGCAGCAAUGUACUCAGCCGAGUGGUACUAAUAAGCCGUGAGGCUUAACCAA
rnacentral:rRNA from 1 species